rnacentral:rRNA from 1 species
GGGUCAGUAGGUUGGUCGUGCCACCGGUACGUACUGGUCUCACUGAUUCCUCCUUCCUGAAGAACCGUAAUGCCAUUAAUUUGGUGUUGCGGGGAAACAGGACUGUUACUUUGAAAAAAUUAGAGUGUUUAAAGCAGGCUAACGCUUGAAUACAUUAGCAUGGAAUAAUGAAAUAGGACGAUCGAUCCUAUUUUAUUGGUUUCUAGGAUUGACGUA